rnacentral:lncRNA from 1 species
UUAAUGGAUCUAUAGUUUUGAUUCCAGUUUUUUUGAUGAGAAGUGUCCAGCCCUAAUUUGAGAAGAAAUGUUAAAUAAUUAUUGAUUGUGUGCCUUCACAAUGAGGUUUUUCUACAGAUUUUUCUACGUAUUUUUCUCAGCAUUUUUCCACGUAUUUUUCUUCAAGUAUUUCUAGACAUUUUUCUAGACGUUUUCUGCAAGUUGUUCUGCAUAUUUUUCUAGAAGUUUUUCGCCAAGUUUUUCCACAAGUUUUCUUACGUGUUCAGUCACCGAAGUAAUCAGUAGCAGCCUGUUCGGUUAGAUUUCAGCCCUGCACCCCUCUGAGGAGA